rnacentral:rRNA from 1 species
UACGUAGGGUGCAAGCGUUAAUCGGAAUUACUGGGCGUAAAGCGUGCGCAGGCGGUUAUGUAAGACAGUUGUGAAAUCCCCGGGCUCAACCUGGGAACUGCAUCUGUGACUGCAUAGCUAGAGUACGGUAGAGGGGGAUGGAAUUCCGCGUGUAGCAGUGAAAUGCGUAGAUAUGCGGAGGAACAGCCGAUGGCGAAGGCAAUCCCCUGGACCUGUAC